rnacentral:rRNA from 2 species
AGACCCGAAACCCGGUGAUCUAGCCAUGGGCAGGUUGAAGGUUGGGUAACACUAACUGGAGGACCGAACCGACUAAUGUUGAAAAAUUAGCGGAUGACCUGUGGCUGGGGGUGAAAGGCCAAUCAAACCGGGAGAUAGCUGGUUCUCCCCGAAAGCUAUUUAGGUAGCGCCUCGUGAAUUCAUCUCCGGGGGUAGAGCACUGUUUCGGCUAGGGGGCCAUCCCGGCUUACCAACCCGAUGCAAACUGCGAAUACCGGAGAAUGUUAUCACGGGAGACACACGGCGGGUGCUAACGUCCGUCGUGAAGAGGGAAACAACCCAGACCGCCAGCUAAGGUCCCAAAGUCAUGGUUAAGUGGGAAACGAUGUGGGAAGGCCCAGACAGCCAGGAUGUUGGCUUAGAAGCAGCCAUCAUUUAAAGAAAGCGUAAUAGCUCACUGGUCGAGUCGGCCUGCGCGGAAGAUGUAACGGGGCUAAACCAUGCACCGAAGCUGCGGCAGCGAACGUAUCACUUAAAGCGAUUCAGCGGGUUACGAUUGACGGAGCGAAGCGACGUCAAAGCGUAUACAAAGUCGAGUCGGUUUAAGGAUACGUUCGUUGGGUAGGGGAGCGUUCUGUAAGCCUGUGAAGGUGGCCUGUGAGGGUUGCUGGAGGUAUCAGAAGUGCGAAUGCUGACAUAAGUAACGAUAAAGCGGGUGAAAAGCCCGCUCGCCGGAAGACCAAGGGUUCCUGUCCAACGUUAAUCGGGGCAGGGUGAGUCGACCCCUAAGGCGAGGCCGAAAGGCGUAGUCGAUGGGAAACGGGUUAAUAUUCCCGUACUUGGUGUUACUGCGAAGGGGGGACGGAGAAGGCUAUGUUGGCCGGGCGACGGUUGUCCCGGUUUAAGCGUGUAGGUGUGUGUUCCAGGUAAAUCCGGUUCACUUUAACACUGAGGCGUGAUGACGAGGCACUACGGUGCUGAAGCAACAAAUGCCCUGCUUCCAGGAAAAGCCUCUAAGCAUCAGGUAACAUCAAAUCGUACCCCAAACCGACACAGGUGGUCAGGUAGAGAAUACCAAGGCGCUUGAGAGAACUCGGGUGAAGGAACUAGGCAAAAUGGUGCCGUAACUUCGGGAGAAGGCACGCUGACAUGUAGGUGAAGUGAUUUACUCAUGGAGCUGAAGUCAGUCGAAGAUACCAGCUGGCUGCAACUGUUUAUUAAAAACACAGCACUGUGCAAACACGAAAGUGGACGUAUACGGUGUGACGCCUGCCCGGUGCCGGAAGGUUAAUUGAUGGGGUCAGCGCAAGCGAAGCUCCUGAUCGAAGCCCCGGUAAACGGCGGCCGUAACUAUAACGGUCCUAAGGUAGCGAAAUUCCUUGUCGGGUAAGUUCCGACCUGCACGAAUGGCGUAAUGAUGGCCAGGCUGUCUCCACCCGAGACUCAGUGAAAUUGAACUCGCUGUGAAGAUGCAGUGUACCCGCGGCAAGACGGAAAGACCCCGUGAACCUUUACUAUAGCUUGACACUGAACAUUGAGCCUUGAUGUGUAG